GGCUCUUUGAGGAGAAAAAUGAUAAAGAGUCGGACCUGCCCAGUGAAAUUUUUCAACGGCCGCGGUACUCUGACCGUGCAAAGGUAGCAUAAUCAUUUGCCUUAUAAUUGAAGGCUUGUAUGAAUGGUUUGACAAGAAUAUAGCUGUCUCUAUAUGAUUUAAUAGAAUUUUAUUUUAAAGUGAAGAAGCUUUAAUGUUAUUAAAAGACAAGAAGACCCUAUCGAGCUUGAAAAAAAAUUGUAGAGGUAUUUAAUAAAUUUAAAAAGUUGUCUAUAUAAGAUUUUGGUUGGGGCGACUUAGGAACAUAAAAAGCUUCCUAAACUAUAUUAUUAGCGAAUAUGAUCCAAAAUAUUUUGAUUAAUGAAAUUAGUUACCGUAGGGAUAACAGCAUAAUCUUCUUUGAGAGUUCUAAUCGAAAAGAAGGUUUGUGACCUCGAUGUUGGACCAGAAUUUCCUGAAGAUGCAGCAGUCUUUAAGGGUUGGUCUGUUCGACCAUUAAAAUUCUACG
rnacentral:rRNA from 1 species